CAGUCGACGAACUCUGGUAUUGAUUGGUGCUUGCAUCAUGAUUUACAUUUGAGUGAGUGGCGAACUGGUGAGUAACACGUGGGAAACCUGCCCAGAAGCGGGGGAUAACACCUGGAAACAGAUGCUAAUACCGCAUAACAACUUGGACCGCAUGGUCCGAGUUUGAAAGAUGGCUUCGGCUAUCACUUUUGGAUGGUCCCGCGGCGUAUUAGCUAGAUGGUGGGGUAACGGCUCACCAUGGCAAUGAUACGUAGCCGACCUGAGAGGGUAAUCGGCCACAUUGGGACUGAGACACGGCCCAAACUCCUACGGGAGGCAGCAGUAGGGAAUCUUCCACAAUGGACGAAAGUCUGAUGGAGCAACGCCGCGUGAGUGAAGAAGGGUUUCGGCUCGUAAAACUCUGUUGUUAAAGAAGAACAUAUCUGAGAGUAACUGUUCAGGUAUUGACGGUAUUUAACCAGAAAGCCACGGCUAACUACGUGCCAGCAGCCGCGGUAAUACGUAGGUGGCAAGCGUUGUCCGGAUUUAUUGGGCGUAAAGCGAGCGCAGGCGGUUUUUUAAGUCUGAUGUGAAAGCCUUCGGCUCAACCGAAGAAGUGCAUCGGAAACUGGGAAACUUGAGUGCAGAAGAGGACAGUGGAACUCCAUGUGUAGCGGUGAAAUGCGUAGAUAUAUGGAAGAACACCAGUGGCGAAGGCGGCUGUCUGGUCUGUAACUGACGCUGAGGCUCGAAAGUAUGGGUAGCAAACAGGAUUAGAUACCCUGGUAGUCCAUACCGUAAACGAUGAAUGCUAAGUGUUGGAGGGUUUCCGCCCUUCAGUGCUGCAGCUAACGCAUUAAGCAUUCCGCCUGGGGAGUACGGCCGCAAGGCUGAAACUCAAAGGAAUUGACGGGGGCCCGCACAAGCGGUGGAGCAUGUGGUUUAAUUCGAAGCUACGCGAAGAACCUUACCAGGUCUUGACAUACUAUGCAAAUCUAAGAGAUUAGACGUUCCCUUCGGGGACAUGGAUACAGGUGGUGCAUGGUUGUCGUCAGCUCGUGUCGUGAGAUGUUGGGUUAAGUCCCGCAACGAGCGCAACCCUUAUUAUCAGUUGCCAGCAUUAAGUUGGGCACUCUGGUGAGACUGCCGGUGACAAACCGGAGGAAGGUGGGGAUGACGUCAAAUCAUCAUGCCCCUUAUGACCUGGGCUACACACGUGCUACAAUGGAUGGUACAACGAGUUGCGAACUCGCGAGAGUAAGCUAAUCUCUUAAAGCCAUUCUCAGUUCGGAUUGUAGGCUGCAACUCGCCUACAUGAAGUCGGAAUCGCUAGUAAUCGCGGAUCAGCAUGCCGCGGUGAAUACGUUCCCGGGCCUUGUACACACCGCCCGUCACACCAUGAGAGUUUGUAACACCCAAAGUCGGUGGGGUAACCUUUUAGGAACCAGC
rnacentral:rRNA from 1 species